AUACAGAGGGUGUAAGCGUUAAUCGGAUUUACUGGGCGUAAAGCGCGCGUAGGUGGCUAAUUAAGUCAAAUGUGAAAUCCCCGAGCUUAACUUGGGAAUUGCAUUCGAUACUGGUUAGCUAGAGUAUGGGAGAGGAUGGUAGAAUUCCAGGUGUAGCGGUGAAAUGCGUAGAGAUCUGGAGGAAUACCGAUGGCGAAGGCAGCCAUCUGGCCUAAUACUGACACUGAGGUGCGAAAGCAUGGGGAGCAAACAGGAUUAGAUACCCUGGUAGUCCAGGCCGUAAACGAUGUCUACUAGCCGUUGGGGCCCUUGAGGCUUUAGUGGCGCAGCUAACGCGAUAAGUAGACCGCCUGGGGAGUACGGUCGCAAGACUAAAACUCAAAUGAAUUGACGGGG
rnacentral:rRNA from 1 species